UUCUAAGACUAAUCCAGUAUCUAAAAUUAGACCCGGGACAACUCAUGUUGCCAUGUAUGGCAAAAUAUGACUGAAUCGGUUAACUAAUUUCCCUGUGGCAUAAAAAGAAUCCUUGGUUGGUAAACCAAGAAAUCUUAGCUUUAGGAGGACAAAAAUGGGAAAGAGAAAGGGAACCAUUUCCUGUUUAGUCGGUUGGUUUCUGAAUCUGAAAGAAUGACAGAAGGGAAGAACUAGGUCCAAAGAAAAGCUGUCAUAAAAAUCAAGGGUGACGCUGAUGAAAACUGACUGCGGCGGAUACUGCCUGGGCUGUACCCACCUGUGCAGCCCAGAGCAUCACAGAAGCUUGCCUCCAGCUGGGGGUCCCUCUAAACACCUUAACUGCUGCUAACUCUGGCUUCGUAACUGCAUGCGACGCAGGACUGCCAGUGACCUCAAGCACACCAAAAGAUUAAAGUUUACCAAAUAUAAGUGGCAAUGGUGAAAUUCUUAAUCAAAACUCUUGUUUCCUCAUGGAGAGCCCUAAGAGGUGUCACUGUGCUGGAUACUUGAAAAGAGCUCGUUAAAAAUACAUAAGAGAAAAAGGCUUCAAGCUUCACCCCACAAGAUGCCCACCUUCCUGCAAGAGAGAUGGAUCCUGAAGGAGACACGAGAGAGAGAAAAGAGCAGCAGAGUGGAAGAGAGAGCAACUUGGGACAAGGCAGGAGGAAGGAAAGAGAAGCUCCUGACUCAUGGGAGAACUGUUCCGUGCAUUAUUUCACAUCUGAGAAACCCAACCAAUAAACAUACCGCCAGUGGCAGAAUGACCACAUGACGUUGUUGCGAACCCAAGACAAGCUGAGCCUCAAGACUGGAAACUAAACAUUCACCAUUUACAUUGUCUGAGGAAGAUGGAUUGAAGCUGAUGGGCCUGGCCAAAGAAUAAUAGUGAAAUCUUGGCUAUCACACCCCCUACCAGGGUUUGUACAGUGAGCACUGGGUAAAAAAUCCUAAUUUUAGUAUCACCCCAAGGGUCUAAUGAUCCUAGAAAACAAUCAUGGGGCCAGGGUAUGGCCCAACGGUAGACAGCUGCUUAAGAGAACAGCCCUAAGGUAAUAUUAAGUCUCCUUGGCUGGGAUCCUCCACAUUCCAAAAGGGCAGCUGGGCAACUUAUCAUCCUUCCCUCUCUUUAGUCCCAUCUCUGGGAUGACAAAAGAAACGGACUUGAAAUGCAGUGGGGAAGUGACUGUGCUGGAUGAGUGUCUAAUCUGAUUUCUGUAACAGACACUGCCAGGAAACAGUGCUGAGGAAAUGUGAAUUAUGUGGUCCUGGAAGAAGGCAGCUCUGGCUCCCUGUGGAGGACACCAGAACUGUCAGUCCAAAGACAACACUGCUCAAGACACCUGGAAUCACCACUGCCCCUGGGCCUCAUCGACUCUGACUCUAGAGACAGGACGGAAUCCCAUAGAAGAGGCUUCAUUACAUCAUUUGAACCAAGGUAAGAUGGAUGACAAGCUAUGGGGGUUGCAGUU